GAGUUUGAUCCUGGCUCAGGACGAACGCUGGCGGCGUGCUUAACACAUGCAAGUCGAACGGGGUGCCCAUGAAGGAGAUUUCGGUCAACGGAUUGGGUUACUUAGUGGCGGACGGGUGAGUAACGCGUGAGGAACCUGCCUUUCAGAGGGGGACAACAGUUGGAAACGACUGCUAAUACCGCAUAACAUGUAGGUGUCGCAUGGCAUUUACAUCAAAGAUUUAUCGCUGAGAGAUGGCCUCGCGUCUGAUUAGCUAGUUGGUAGGGUAACGGCCUACCAAGGCGACGAUCAGUAGCCGGACUGAGAGGUUGGCCGGCCACAUUGGGACUGAGAUACGGCCCAGACUCCUACGGGAGGCAGCAGUGGGGAAUAUUGAGCAAUGGGCGCAAGCCUGACCCAGCAACGCCGCGUGAAAAGAGAAGGCUUUCGGGUUGUAAACUUCUU
rnacentral:rRNA from 1 species